GGGGAAUUUUCCGCAAUGGGCGAAAGCCUGACGGAGCAAUACCGCGUGAGGGAGGAAGGCUCUUGGGUCGUAAACCUCUUUUCUCAGGGAAGAACACAAUGACGGUACCUGAGGAAUAAGCAUCNNNNAACUCCGUGCCAGCAGCCGCGGNNAUACGGAGGAUGCAAGCGUUAUCCGGAAUGGUUGGGCGUAAAGNNNCCGCAGGUGGCAAUGUAAGUCUGCUGUUAAAGAGUGAGGCUCAACCUCAUAAGAGCAGUGGAAACUACAUAGCUAGGGUACGUUCGGGGCAGAGGGAAUUCCUGGUGUAGCGGUGAAAUGCGUAGAGAUCAGGAAGAACACCGGUGGCGAAGGCGCUCUGCUAGGCCGUAACUGACACUGAGGGACGAAAGCUAGGGGAGCGAAUGGGAUUAGAUACCCCAGUAGUC
rnacentral:rRNA from 1 species